rnacentral:misc_RNA from 1 species
AUUUACUUAUGGCUUCUUUGUACUCGGUCGACCUUCGUUGAAAUUAAGACACAUUGCUGACCAAAGUUAAAAACUUAAAAAUAAUAAAAACUCUAUGCUUUAUAACCCCACACCAGCCAGUUUCCUAUCUGAUGUGCUGUGUUUCCUUCUGAGUCUCGAGUUCUGAUAGCGUUUGGCUUUCUUUUCCCUGGGAAAGUUGAGAAUUCUAGCUUAUAGGCACCAGAAUUUUUUCUCGUUCUUUGAAUUGCUUGUCACUUGCUGUUUUCUUUUCACUGGCAAAGGAAGAUGGAGGAAUAUACUCAGUUUUUUAAUCAGGUACCUGAGCAAGAAAAGUGUCUUGGUAGCCCUAAAGCAUCAGAGGACAAAAAACUGGAGCUGAGACUUGGUCCCCCAGGAGACUUCUUUAGUUUCAAGAAUAUUACCACCGCUAGUGGAAUCAAAAGACUACUUGAUCAAGAUAGAUUUGAAGCGAAGACAGGAGAUGGAAACUGGUUUUCUCAUUCUCAUGAAAAGCAAUGCAAAAAGCUUUCAGGCCAUGAAGGAUCAGGUGAAAUGGUAUUCUCUUCUCCAUGGUCAUCAUCAUCAAGUGGCUCUCUACAUUCUUCAACUUUCCAAAGGGAGAUUCAGAGGGAGAAAAUACAGCCAAAGCCUUCAUAUCUUCAGUGUUCUACAGUUGUAGAGUUGCAGUGCCCUGUUAAGAAGCCAAGUUCUGGCCCUGCUAGUGCUUCAUUUCCUGCCACCACAGCUGCAGGGACCAGUAACAAAAGAUUUGAGCCUGCUCCAGUGAUUGGGUGGCCUCCAAUUCGAUCAUUCAGGAAAAAUCUUGCUAGUAGCAGCAGCAGAAGCUCAAAGAUGGUGGUUGAUGAUUUACCAAAUAAAACUCCAUCAGAAGGGUGCACUACAAAGCCUGGAAAUUUCAGAAAUGAUUUAUUUGUAAAGAUCAACAUGGAAGGAAUCCCCAUUGGAAGAAAAAUAAACCUGAAUGCCUACGACAGCUAUGAGAAACUAUCCGUUGCCAUUGAUGAGUUAUUCAGGGGUUUGCUUGCAGUUUUAGCUCAAAGGGAACAUUCUGCUGCUAGGAAUGGAAACAAAGCAAAGGUAGAUGAAGCAAAAGCAAAUGCAGGUUCCUCAUCCGGAGCUGGAACUGGAACUGGGGAAUAUACUCUAGUCUAUGAUGACAGUGAAGGAGAUAGGAUACUUGUUGGGGAUGUCCCUUGGCACAUGUUUGUAUCUACGGCAAAGAGGCUACGCGUGCUGAAAAGCUCUCAACUUUCCACACAACGACUUUCAGUUGACAACAGAGAGCAACAAAUUAAGGACGCCACAUAGGUCCUUAUUCGAAAUCGAAGAUGAUGAAGCUCUAAGUGGAGAAUAAAGUCAUGGCAUGCUGCGUGGCUUUCGGCUUUAAUUUCCACCUCUCCUCAGCCCAACUUUAAUUUAAAGUUUUUUUUUUUUGAAUUUUCUUG